rnacentral:rRNA from 1 species
AUUGAACGCUGGCGGCAGGCCUAACACAUGCAAGUCGAGCGGAUGAAGGGAGCUUGCUCCUGGAUUCAGCGGCGGACGGGUGAGUAAUGCCUAGGAAUCUGCCUGGUAGUGGGGGAUAACGUCCGGAAACGGGCGCUAAUACCGCAUACGUCCUGAGGGAGAAAGUGGGGGAUCUUCGGACCUUACGCUAUCAGAUGAGCCUAGGUCGGAUUAGCUAGUUGGUGGGGUAAAGGCCUACCAAGGCGACGAUCCGUAACUGGUCUGAGAGGAUGAUCAGUCACACUGGAACUGAGACACGGUCCAGACUCCUACGGGAGGCAGCAGUGGGGAAUAUUGGACAAUGGGCGAAAGCCUGAUCCAGCCAUGCCGCGUGUGUGAAGAAGGUCUUCGGAUUGUAAAGCACUUUAAGUUGGGAGGAAGGGCAGUAAGUUAAUACCUUGCUGUUUUGACGUUACCAACGGAAUAAGCACCGGCUAACUUCGUG